UACGUAGGUGGCAAGCGUUGUCCGGAUUUACUGGGCGUAAAGAGCGCGCAGGCGGUCGUUCAAGUCGCGUGUGAAAGCCCCCGGCUCAACUGGGGAGGGUCACGCGAUACUGAUCGACUCGAAGGCAGGAGAGGGUAGUGGAAUUCCCGGUGUAGUGGUGAAAUGCGUAGAUAUCGGGAGGAACACCAGUGGCGAAGGCGGCUACCUGGCCUGUUCUUGACGCUGAGGAGCGAAAGCGUGGGUAGCGAACAGG
rnacentral:rRNA from 1 species